GUAUACAAGUGUAGUACAUAAUUCAAAAUUUGAUUUGAUACAGAGAAGAUUAGCAUGGCCCCUGCACAAGGAUGACACGCAAAUUCGUGAAGCGUUCCAUAAAAAA
rfam:Alligator mississippiensis ScZkoYb_34, whole genome shotgun sequence.